GAAAGGAGAAGAGUGUAAAUCUCUCACAUUAAGCAAACAUUCUCUGUUCCUGUCUCAACACUCAGCCAGUUCACCGUGUCUCUUUGUAAGCAAACAGCAUCAGGAAGGCAAAAACAAAGAAGCUACCCUGCAGCCUUUCACUACAGCACUACUUUAGCCACCUGCCUCAUUAAGUUUCUUGCAUGACAGGUGAGUUUGCCAAAGCACUGCGGAGGAACUAGAUUUUGUUUUUGUGUGAAAUAUUUUUUAA